rnacentral:lncRNA from 1 species
ACAGUCGACGCGGGGGCGAAGGUCGCGCCGCUCUCUAGCCCGCCCGCGGACCAAGAGCCGCUGUUCUUGGGAGCCCGGGAGCUGUGGGUGCACUAGGUGCUCGGUGCGCACGGUGGCCUGAGCUGUCCCCGCCCCGGAGGCAGCGUCGGCCGUCCAUCAGGGCUGGGACCGACGCGACCCACGCGUCGCGCCCUGCCCCCUCCCCCCGCAGGCUCCUGCAAGGAGACACCCCGGGGCGCUGGCACGCGAGGAGGCGCCGCGGGCUCAGGCAGGGAGGCGACGCCGGGCGCGGAGGAACUGGGGAGCCUUCGCCACUGCUGGGUCUGCAGAGACCGACUCACCGAGGGGAGCCUCUCGGGGCCUCGGAAAGAUGAGAAGGAAGAGCAAAGCACCUUGAACACAGCCUGUUCUCUGCGCACCGAAACUCCCGGUUGAGAACUCAGCGCUCCCACGCUCUCCCAGAACCCUUGUCUUUCCGCUUUUCCACUCCUUGUAACAGUGUGCACUCCACUUUUCUUCCCUCCCCCAGCUUUGGGGACGAAAAAGUCUCUGUUUUUAGGCUUCGAGGUGAAUCUGUCUGAGGGCAUCAGAAACAUAACUAUUUCGUGGAAAACCAGUGAUUUGCCUAGCUUAGACGGACUUGUUCGGCUAAUUACAGGAUGGACUGCGGUUUGGAAAAGCGGGAUUCUCCCAGCGCCAACUGGCCCUUCUCCCGAGCCCGACCUUCCGCAGGGGCAUUGCCAGGUGCCCUGCCUGCGAUCCCACUGUCCCGGUGUCCUCACGGUGAGAAACUGAAAGGAACCGAAACCAAACCAUCUGCCUCCCAGUUAACCCACACGGUUUCCCCUAAACGUAUAAAAUAAAAAUUCUUAUCUUUCC